rnacentral:tRNA from 1 species
UGCCCUAUAGUAUAAUGGUAAUACAUUCGGCUCUAACCCGAAAAUUGACUGUUCGAGUCAGUCUGGGGCUACUA